GAGGACACAUAGGUCAGGAUGAGGAGGGCAAAGUUCUCGAGCAGGUUGAGCAGCAGGUUGAAGUGGCACAGGCGCAGGUAGCGAGGGUGGGAGCAGUGGCAGCUCUGGUAGUGGUUCCAGUAGGCAACGGCCACCAGGAAACGUGGAGCUGAGUGCAGACCAAUGCAGAGCCGCCAGACGUAGCGCUGCGGGGUCUCUCCUCCGAUGGCAGCACUGAUGGAAGGCAGGUAGUUUGGGACCCCGCAGUGGGUGGCUGUUGUCUCCUGGAAGUGGAAGAGCAGAG
rnacentral:lncRNA from 1 species